GAACGCACAUUGCGCCCUAUGGAAUUCUGUAGGGCAUGCCUGUCUGAGCGUCAGCAGCCAAAAAAAUCCAAAUCUUUGUAGAUAAAGAUUUGGAUUUGGUUAAGAGAUGUAAUCUGUGUGUAAGAACCAGUUACUCUUUUGAAAUUUAAAGGCAGUAUUGAUCAAUCCAACUGUAAACGUGAUAAAACAUUUCGUUUUAUUGUUCGGAAUGAGCUUUUUGCUUGCCUAUAAACCCACUCAUCUUCAUGGGUGACCUCAGAUCAGGUAGGGAUACCCGCUGAACUUA
rnacentral:misc_RNA from 1 species